GGACUCGUUCAGCCAUGGCUAUGUUCUUGGAGGAUGAACAGAUAUCUCAGAAAAACCUUGGUUUGUUUCAGCUGCAAAAAGAAAACAUCAAAUGAAGAAACUCAAAAGUCUUAGAACAGAGCAGAGAAACCUCAGUAGGACACAAAGAAGAACAUGGAAGAACAAGAGAAACACAGAGAGAUUACAAGAUACAGAAAAUCAAAAGAAAUCAAAACUGGGUUCGUCCACAAAAAAGCCCUCAGAUCAGAACAACAAUGAGCAAUGAACGAAGAACAAAGAAAACAGAGAGAAACAGAGCAAAGGGAAUGAGAAUCAACGAACCUCGGGAAAUAAAGAGGGGGAAUGUGAAAUGGAAUGGUGUGAAGAUUGGAAGAGGCGAAAGGGUUUUUAUAUACGGAAUGGAUAGCAGUUCUUAUCCAGCAGCUCGAUUGCCAUUAUUACCGCCAUUACCAUUUCUGUGGUUUUCUUCUUCCUUCCACAAAACCGCUUCUUCUUCUUCUUCUUCUUCCUCGCUGGGCCCAUUUUUUUCUUCCCUUUUCGAUUUUGUUGCCAUUAAAAUCAUGGGUUUGACUGUUCUUGCUCAACUUGAUCUGGGUUUUGCUUAAAUUACAAAUUUUAUUAA